rnacentral:lncRNA from 12 species
CAAUCCCAACACCCCAAAUUUCCUUCCUGGAACCCGGAAUUCCCAAUCCCAAAAUAUUCGUGGAAUUCUCAAUCCCCAAAAUCCAGAAUUCCCAAUUUCAACAUCCCAGAAUUCCCAAUCCCAGCUCCGGGAAUUGCCAAUUCCAACCCCAAAACUCCAUCCUGGAAUCUGGAAUUCCCAGUUUCAAUCCCAGAAUUCCCAAAAAUCCUGAAUGCCCGAAUUCCCAAUCCCAAAAAUUCCCAAAAUUUCCCAAAAAUUCCCGACCCUUUUUGGGGCGUUUCUUGGCCGAGUUGAGCUGCCCGACCCAUCCUCAAUUUCCAAAAAUUCAGAAUUCCCAACCCCAGAAUCCCCAAAAAUUCCCAAAAAUCCUGAAUUCCAGAAUUCCCAAAAAUUCUAAAUUCCCGAAUUCCCCAUCCCAAAAAUUCCCAAAAUUUCUCAAAUUCCCGACCCUUUUUGGGGCGUUUCUUGGCCGAGUUCAGCCGCCCGACCCAUCCCAAAUUCUCAUCCUGAAUUUCCAAAAAUCCUGAAUUCCCCAAUUUUCAAUCCCAGGAUUCCCAGAAUUCCCAAAAUUCCCAAUUCCAGAAUUCCACAAAAAAUUCCAAAAAGUCCCAAAAAUUCCUGACUUUUCCUGGGGGGUUUCUUGGCGGA